UGGGAUUCUACUUUCCUUUAACAAUGGUUUUGUCCUUCAGUUUUUCACCUCUGUUUUAUAAAGAGCUCUGUCAGUUAGGGAAGCAGAUGUCACAGGCAAACUGGCGUGAUUUUGCAAGGGUUUAUUUACAGAGUGACUCCUUGUGGAGCUGUGGACAUACAGGAGGCAUAAGAGAUGGUGCAGUAUCCCAGGGCAAAUAUCAGCAGAGCUGCUGUCAUCCCUGGGUCUGGAGCUUUGGGGAAGGAAGCAGCUACCAGAACCUGGAAGGAGAGUCACAUAGAGGAGGCUGCCUUGAGAGAAGAUGUCAUCUUCAACUGGGGGAUGCAGUCAGCCUGCGGUAAUCUGUUAGAGAGGUGUCAAUUGAAAUUUUAGAAGUAUCAAUUCCUUGAGAUGGGAGGAGAACGGAAGGAAAACAAACAACUACCUUUUCCUUUCCUGUUGUUGCUGAUGUGCACUUUCCCUGUCUUCCACGUCAUGACUCAGGAAAUCAGGGGGUGCAUCUCAGAGGGCACCCUGCCUGUGUUCUCUGUCAUUGCCUGUGAGCCACCGACCGAUACCAUCAUUUUAAUCACUCAAGAAGCCUUCCUUUCAGGAAUGUAUAUUGCUUCUUGGCCCCUGCCUUCUCCCUGGAAAUCCUGGGCAAAGAGCCAGGGAAAAAAUGUGAGUGCUCAGGCCGAAAUCAGUGGGCUGGAAUUGUUUCUUCACUUUGGGUGACUCCACUGUUACUCAAGGAAUGAACUGGUUGGCACCAAGCAAGAAGAACAGCACAUCUCUUUGGACUCAUUCCCUUAUUUAUAAGCCAUAACCUUAGGGACAAUAAGCUAGAGACCCUGCCAGCAUCCUUGAGCCAAGAUCUCAUCUGAUGUCACAGUAGCCAUGUUUCCCCGGCAUCCGAAUGCCCAAGGAUGCAAAUAAGGCCUGGGCCAAACUAAGCUCUGACAAUGUUAUUCCAAAGAGGCGGCAGCGAGGGUAGGAAGUUCUGGUCCCCUCAUCUUACUUCAAGUUUCACAGCCAAGAGUGAUGAUAGCUUUAGUCAAUAAGUACAGUCAAGGAGCCUAUGAGACAGAACUUGUCACAAAGAGAGCUGAUGUUUCGCAUGGACCUGAACAGAGUAACUGGUGUCUCUUCAGGAAUGGGGCACAAUCCAGAGGUUACUAACCACGAACAUUUACUGGAUUUGGUACUUGGCGAAAGAAACUGACAAAUUAAGAAAUGAGAGAGAGAAUAAAUGCACUGUGCGUGCUGAAACCCCAAGAAGACUUUUUUUCUCCCACUUUUUAUGGACCUGAGGUGUUGGAAAUGGAAACAUUGUUUCAAACAAAAUCCAGAUUUUUAUCUCUCUCCCCAAGAGAUAUGGCUUUAAUCUUUUUUCUUUUCUUCUGCUGCUUUUCUGAAACAGUCUGCUAGGGGCUGAUUUCCUCUUCUUUGAAACAGACCAAAAUAUCCCUGUGGGUGAAAAACAUGCCGGAAGUGAAACAGAAAGAUUCAGCUUGCCCCGUGUUCGUGGUCUGUCAACUUCUCUAGCCAGUGCCUGGGUCCACAGCUCACUGCUGCCGGUUGCCCUGCGUUAGCCGCAUUGCGGGGGAGACAGGAGAGGCUUGAAGGCUUUUUAUAUUCUACUCUCUUCUGAAGAAUUCACAAGUUAGCAAGCACUCAACCACUACUAACCAGAAGGUAUUGCCAACCAUAACAAACUACACCCAUCAACAAGGCCUCCCUCAUAUUGCAAUCCCAGCAGAAAAUGAUGCAGGAAAAGCACUCCCCAAAUCUUGGUUGCCUGCCACCCAAGUUCUUAUGCCAAGAUAUGUGUUUAGCCAGUUCUAAGAUGCUCCCACCUUUUCAUGUGUCCAACACUAGGCUUUCUACCAUAGUUCCCUCCACCCAGAAUGUGUUACUUGGCUCCUACAAAUGAAAGAGGAAGUGCCCUUCCCUGAACAGAAAUCAAAACACAGGGUGAAACCACGACUUGUUUUCAACAGGCCUCCUGUUGUGAGCCCUCCCAACAGUGCUGCCUUUCUCCAAGAGAGCUGGGACUGGCGGCUCGAAGCGGUAUAAAUGGCCUGUGCCUCUUCCUGAGGCUGCCUGUAACAAGUGUCUCAAGAGCAAUUCGUCAUCGGCUGGAGAUUACCAACUUGGCUCACUGAACCAGAUCGUGCUUUGUCACAUGUGAAAUUCUGAUGUUCUAAUACAUGGCUUGUUUGCAAACUACGCCUUAAAUAAAUAUAUUCAG
rnacentral:lncRNA from 1 species